rnacentral:rRNA from 1 species
UACAGAGGUCUCAAGCGUUUGUUCGGAUUCAUUGGGCGUAAAGGGUGCGUAGGCGGCGCGGUAAGUCGGGGUGUGAAAUCUCGGAGCUUAACUCCGAAACUGCAUUCGAUACUGCCGUGCUUGAGGACUGGAGAGGAGACUGGAAUUUACGGUGUAGCGGUGAAAUGCGUAGAUAUCGUAAGGAAGACCAGUGGCGAAGGCGGGUCUCUGGACAGU